UAGAGUUUGAUCCUGGCUCAGAUUGAACGCUGGCGGCAGGCCUAACACAUGCAAGUCGGACGGUAGCACAGAGGAGCUUGCUCCUUGGGUGACGAGUGGCGGACGGGUGAGUAAUGUCUGGGGAUCUGCCCGAUAGAGGGGGAUAACCACUGGAAACGGUGGCUAAUACCGCAUAACGUCGCAAGACCAAAGAGGGGGACCUUCGGGCCUCUCACUAUCGGAUGAACCCAGAUGGGAUUAGCUAGUAGGCGGGGUAAUGGCCCACCUAGGCGACGAUCCCUAGCUGGUCUGAGAGGAUGACCAGCCACACUGGAACUGAGACACGGUCCAGACUCCUACGGGAGGCAGCAGUGGGGAAUAUUGCACAAUGGGCGCAAGCCUGAUGCAGCCAUGCCGCGUGUAUGAAGAAGGCCUUCGGGUUGUAAAGUACUUUCAGCGGGGAGGAAGGCGAUGUGGUUAAUAACCGCAUCGAUUGACGUUACCCGCAGAAGAAGCACCGGCUAACUCCGUGCCAGCAGCCGCGGUAAUACGGAGGGUGCAAGCGUUAACCGGAAUUACUGGGCGUAAAGCGCACGCAGGCGGUCUGUUAAGUCAGAUGUGAAAUCCCCGGGCUUAACCUGGGAACUGCAUUUGAAACUGGCAGGCUUGAGUCUUGUAGAGGGGGGUGGAAUUCCAGGUGUAGCGGUGAAAUGCGUAGAGAUCUGGAGGAAUACCGGUGGCGAAGGCGGCCCCCUGGACAAAGACUGACGCUCAGGUGCGAAAGCGUGGGGAGCAAACAGGAUUAGAUACCCUGGUAGUCCACGCCGUAAACGAUGUCGACUUGGAGGUUGUUCCCUUGAGGAGUGGCUUCCGGAGCUAACGCGUUAAGUCGACCGCCUGGGGAGUACGGCCGCAAGGUUAAAACUCAAAUGAAUUGACGGGGGCCCGCACAAGCGGUGGAGCAUGUGGUUUAAUUCGAUGCAACGCGAAGAACCUUACCUACUCUUGACAUCCAGAGAACUUAGCAGAGAUGCUUUGGUGCCUUCGGGAACUCUGAGACAGGUGCUGCAUGGCUGUCGUCAGCUCGUGUUGUGAAAUGUUGGGUUAAGUCCCGCAACGAGCGCAACCCUUAUCCUUUGUUGCCAGCGCGUCAUGGCGGGAACUCAAAGGAGACUGCCGGUGAUAAACCGGAGGAAGGCGGGGAUGACGUCAAGUCAUCAUGGCCCUUACGAGUAGGGCUACACACGUGCUACAAUGGCGCAUACAAAGAGAAGCGACCUCGCGAGAGCAAGCGGACCUCACAAAGUGCGUCGUAGUCCGGAUCGGAGUCUGCAACUCGACUCCGUGAAGUCGGAAUCGCUAGUAAUCGUGGAUCAGAAUGCCACGGUGAAUACGUUCCCGGGCCUUGUACACACCGCCCGUCACACCAUGGGAGUGGGUUGCAAAAGAAGUAGGUAGCUUAACCUUCGGGAGGGCGCUUACCACUUUGUGAUUCAUGACUGGGGUGAAGUCGUAACAAGGUA
rnacentral:rRNA from 1 species